CUUGCCUUCCCUUCCGCCCGCGCAGCGCCCGAGGGCGGCUGGCUCAGCGCCGACGAGUCCUCGGGCUACGAGAGCGAGAGCGCCGCAUCGGGCACGGCCUCCCCGCCGCAGCCCCGCCGCCUGCGCACCGCCUUCACCUCCACGCAGAUCUGCCAGCUGGAGAAGACCUUCAAGCGGCAGAAGUACCUGGGCGCCGCCGAGAGGAGGAAGCUGGCAGCCGCCCUGCAGCUCUCCGAGGUCCAGGUCAAAACCUGGUUCCAGAAUCGUAGGAUGAAGCUUAAGAGGCAGAUACAAGACCACCACCAUAGCCUCCUGCCUCCAGCUCCUUUCUACAGCUAUAGCCAAGGGACCCCACCAACUCUGCUACAGGAUUAUUCCCACUAUCCUCUUGGCCCACAGCAGCAAAGACUCCUGCCUUUAACCCCAAGUCCUGCUUUGCAGUUCAACUCUUCCUUUCAAGUAUAUGACUUGCCACAAAAUGCAUCAUAUGGGCUUGUGGCACAUGAUCUGCCUUAUUACCAUCAACACUUUCUACCACAACUCUCCCUCCUUCCAGUUUUUCAAAACAAAGUGGAAGACCAGCAAUUUAACUCUCUAACGACACUAUAACCAUGCCUGUAUGUCAGAUAUGGAACAAGUAUAUGGUACACUGUAGGCUUUAAUUGUACGUAAAAUGUUUGGCUUGAUAUCAAGUUAAAGGUUCAUAACUAUACAGGCUAAUUCUAAUUGUAUUUAACUGAUAUUAAAACCUGUUAAAUGUA